rnacentral:rRNA from 1 species
UACGAAGGGGGCUAGCGUUGCUCGGAAUCACUGGGCGUAAAGGGUGCGUAGGCGGGGUUUUAAGUCAGGGGUGAAAUCCUGGAGCUCAACUCCAGAACUGCCUUUGAUACUGGAGAGCUUGAGUCCGGAAGAGGUGAGUGGAACUCCGAGUGUAGAGGUGAAAUUCGUAGAUAUUCGGAAGAACACCAGUGGCGAAGGCGGCUCACUGGUCCGGUACUGACGCUGAUGUGCGAAAGCGUGGGGAGCAAACAGG